ACAUUUCUUUAAGUAUAAAUUUUAAAGUAAUUCCUGCUCAAUGAUUUUUAUUAAAUAGCUGCAGUAAUUUGACUGUACAAAGGUAGCAUAAUAAUUAGUUUCUUAAUUAGGAACUGGAAUGAUUGGAUUAAUGAAAUACAAAUUUUAUUAGUUAUAUUAUUAUAAUUUAAUUUUUAAGUUAAAAAGCUUAAUUUUUUAUUUGGGACGAGAAGACCCUAUAGAACUUUAUUAUAUAUUAAUAUAUUUUAGUAUUUAAAUGUUUAAUUAUUUUUUGGUUGGGGUGACAGAUAAAUUUUAACUUUAUUUUAUUAUUUCAUUAAUUUAUGAUAAUUGAUCCAUUUCUUUUGAUUAAAAGUUUAAGUUACCUUAGGGAUAACAGCGUAAUUUUAAUGGAAAGUUCUUAUUAAUAUUAAAGUUUGCGACCUCGAUGUUGAAUUAAGAUUAAUAUAGGGGGCAGUUUCUCUAAUGUUUAAGUCUGUUCGACUUUUAAUUUCUUACUUGAUCUG
rnacentral:rRNA from 1 species